GACAAAUGUCAAGAUUCUAAAUAAUACCUCAGACAGCCCGGCUUCAAAGAAAGAAAAAGCUUUUGAAAUAUCUAAAAUCAGUCUGUGAUGGGGCUUUUCGCUCAGCAAAGCUAAAACACAGCGUUUCCUUGAUUGGAUCUGCACUGUGGGGAUGCCCUGAUCCGCAGUCAAGGGAAUAGUUAAAGAUACAAAGAAAUCUAGACACAAAAUACUGCUACUUUCACAGAAAAUAUCCUGCAGAGAAAUGGCAUUGAUUAUUCCUGGGGACAUUUUAAGAAGGCUUAAUUAUGGGUUUUGGAACAUCUUUCUUUUUCAUUUUCUGUCGUACAUGAAUAGAAGUGAAAGAUGCUUUCACACAGCAAACCCAAUGUGAGAAACAGAAAGGACUGAAUUGAAUAAAUCUGGUUCAGUUAA